rnacentral:sRNA from 1 species
GCCAGGUGCAGUGGUGAACUCCUGUAAUCCCAGUGACUCAGGAGGCUGAGGCAGGAGGAUCACAGGCUUGAUGUUAGCCUCCACAACUUAGUGAGACCCUGUCUCAA